GCACGGAGUUUUAAUCCAAGAAAGAGUUGUGAACAAAGUGGCGGUUGCGUAAGGGGUGGGAAUCUGCCAAACAGUUCGGGCUAAAUCCCGAAGAAAGCUAGAAAGCGCUGUUUGAUGAGCCUGCGUAGUAUUAGGUAGUUGGUUAGGUAGUCUUUUCGGACGAUCAGCCACACCGGGACUGAGACACAGCCCGGACUCCCACAGUGGCAGCAGUGGGGAAUCUUGGACAAUGGACGCAAGCCUGAUCCAGCAAUAUUGCGUGAGUGAAGAAGGGCAAUUCCGCUCGUAAAACUCUUUAGUCGAGUGCGAGAGUUGUAGUGCAUGUGUUCUGCAGACCAAAGCUAGGAUGGUCCAAGGACCA
rnacentral:ncRNA from 1 species